GGAAAACAGAACUUUCUUUUUUAUAUAAAAUUUCUAAAUUUUAGUUAAAUUUUGUGAAACUAGAAAACUAGUUUUCCAAUUCUCUAUUUGCAAAACUAGCAUUUGUAGACACAAACUCUGUUAUCCGAUUUUCUGAGAAAACUUUUUCAAGAAACUAAUCUAGUUCUCCACAUUUAAACAGGCCCGAAAUAUUCUAUCGCUUGCCAUCUACAAACAGAUGGUCAAAUGAAAGUUGUAAGUCAAAGUUUGGGUAACCUCUUAAGAUGUCUUGUUGGCAAUAAAGCAAAGACUUGGGAAUUAGUUAUACCGCAAGCUGAAUUCGACAACAAUAAUUCAAUCAAUUGAACUACCAAGAAGACACCAUUUGUGGCUGCCUAUGGCUUGAAAUCUCAUCAUGCACUUGACUUGCUAGGGCGAGUGAAGAAGGCAAAUUAUUUGCUGACCAAAUUCAGAAGAUUUAUAAAGAAAGUGCAAGACACCCUAAAAUCUGGCAAUGCAGCUUACUCUUUUGCCACAAGUCAACCCUGUUGUAUGCAGGAAUUUGAGGAGGGUGAUCAAGUUCUUUUGCACUUGAGGAGAGAGAUUUCCAAAGGAUACUUAUCACAAGCUCGAUUUAAGGAGGUUCAGUCCAUGUAAGAUGUUGAAGAAAAUUAACUUGAAUGCAUACCUGAUUGAGUUGCCACCUGAUUUGCAAAUUAGCUCAUCUUUAAUGCUUCUAACUUGUAUUCGUUUGACGGAUUUGAUGGUACUUCUACCAUUGAAGCUCAAGUCCAACAACUUCCGGUUGUGAAGCUUGAUGUUAUUGAAGAAGUGUUAGAUGUAAAAGAAGCCUAAACUAGACGCGGCAACCAGUAUAGAAGAUUCUCAGUGAAGUGGCUUGGCAGACCAGCAACUGAAAGUACCUAGGAUUAUUGAAGAGGAGCUGCAACAAGUUAAUUAUAUCCAUACAGAGUAUCUCUAGGCUUAUUCAUCGAAGCUGAGCUUUUCACUCCCUUGGGGAGAUUGAUGCAGCAGCAUCUGAAGUUCUAUUCAGUUUUGAAAUUUAUUUUCUGUUAUUUUCAAUUAUGGAUUCCACUUAGUUUUCUUUUCCUUCUUUACUUAGGAUUCUAGUCUUAGGAUUCUAGUCUUAUUAGGUCUUUAUUAAUUAGAAUUAGUUUAGAGUCUUUGAAUAGGAUUUAUCCUACAUGGUUUAAAUAAAGUUGAUGGCAGAUAUCAACAUUUUUUUUUUUUGUAUUCAGAAUUUAUCAUAAGGUUUUCUGUAACCCCUAAUUAUCUUUCAUUUGUUCCAACCACAGUCAACCUUAUUUUAGUCCUAAAUGUUGAAAUGUAAUUGUCUCAAACUCUUCUGUUGCUUCAACUGCACCAUGAAAAGAAAGCGAAUAACGAGAAUAGAACCUGAUCC
rnacentral:misc_RNA from 1 species